GGUUCUGUGGUCUAACGGUUAGGACUUUGGAUUUUGAUGAAUGAAUCAAUUCCAGCAGCGAGGGUUCGACUCCCUCCAGAACCU